rnacentral:rRNA from 1 species
ACGCUGGCGGCGUGCCUAACACAUGCAAGUCGAACGGAGUUGAGGAGCUUGCUCCUUAACUUAGUGGCGGACGGGUGAGUAACGCGUGAGUAACCUGCCUCUGAGAGGGGAAUAACGUUCUGAAAAGAACGCUAAUACCGCAUGACACAUAUUUGCCGCAUGACAGAUAUGUCAAAGAUUUUUAUCGCUCAGAGAUGGACUCGCGUCCGAUUAGUUAGUUGGUGAGGUAACGGCUCACCAAGACCGCGAUCGGUAGCCGGACUGAGAGGUUGAACGGCCACAUUGGGACUGAGACACGGCCCAGACUCCUACGGGAGGCAGCAGUGGGGGAUAUUGCGCAAUGGGGGCAACCCUGAACCGCAGCAACGCCGCGUGAAGGAUGAAGGUUUUCGGAUUGUAAACUUCUUUUCUCAGGGACGAAUUCUGACGGUACCUGAGGAAUAAGCUCCGGCUAACUACGUGCCAGCCGCUGC